GACGAACGCUGGCGGCGUGCCUAACACAUGCAAGUAGAACGCUGAAGAGAGGAGCUUGCUCUUCUUGGAUGAGUUGCGAACGGGUGAGUAACGCGUAGGUAACCUGCCUUGUAGCGGGGGAUAACUAUUGGAAACGAUAGCUAAUACCGCAUAACAAUGGAUGACACAUGUCAUUUAUUUGAAAGGGGCAAUUGUUCCACUACAAGAUGGACCUGCGUUGUAUUAGCUAGUAGGUGAGGUAAUGGCUCACCUAGGCGACGAUACAUAGCCGACCUGAGAGGGUGAUCGGCCACACUGGGACUGAGACACGGCCCAGACUCCUACGGGAGGCAGCAGUAGGGAAUCUUCGGCAAUGGGGGCAACCCUGACCGAGCAACGCCGCGUGAGUGAAGAAGGUUUUCGGAUCGUAAAGCUCUGUUGUAAGUCAAGAACGGGUGUGAGAGUGGAAAGUUCACACUGUGACGGUAGCUUACCAGAAAGGGACGGCUAACUACGUG
rnacentral:rRNA from 1 species